AUACGUAGGGGGCGAGCGUUGUCCGGAAUGAUUGGGCGUAAAGGGCGCGUAGGCGGCGCGGUAAGUCUGGAGUGAAAGUCCUGCUUUCAAGGUGGGAAUUGCUUUGGAUACUGCCGCGCUUGAGUGCAGGAGAGGUUAUCGGAAUUCCCGGUGUAGCGGUGAAAUGCGUAGAGAUCGGGAGGAACACCAGUGGCGAAGGCGGGUAACUGGACUGCAACUGACGCUGAGGCGCGAAAGUGUGGGGAGCAAACAGGAUUAGAUACCCUGGUAGUCCACACUGUAAACGAUGAAUGCUAGGUGUAAGAGGUAUCGACCCCUUUUGUGCCGGAGUCAACACAAUAAGCAUUCCGCCUGGAGAGUACGGCCGCAAGGUUGAAACUCAAAUGAAUUGGCGGGG
rnacentral:rRNA from 1 species